GGUUGUAUAGUGUAGCGGUUAGCACGGCAGAUUUUGAAGACUUCCGAAUAUCGGAUUGUUCAAUCUUCUGCAAUCCCCGGUUCGAGCCCGGGUACGACCU